AACCAUACCAAACUGUUGCCUCGGCGGGGUCACGCCCCGGGUGCGUCGCAGCCCCGGAACCAGGCGCCCGCCGGAGGGACCAACCAAACUCUUUUCUGUAGUCCCCUCGCGGACGUUAUUUCUUACAGCUCUGAGCAAAAAUUCAAAAUGAAUCAAAACUUUCAACAACGGAUCUCUUGGUUCUGGCAUCGAUGAAGAACGCAGCGAAAUGCGAUAAGUAAUGUGAAUUGCAGAAUUCAGUGAAUCAUCGAAUCUUUGAACGCACAUUGCGCCCGCCAGUAUUCUGGCGGGCAUGCCUGUCCGAGCGUCAUUUCAACCCUCGAACCCCUCCGGGGGGUCGGCGUUGGGGAUCGGGAACCCCUAAGACGGGAUCCCGGCCCCGAAAUACAGUGGCGGUCUCGCCGCAGCCUCUCCUGCGCAGUAGUUUGCACAACUCGCACCGGGAGCGCGGCGCGUCCACGUCCGUAAAACACCCAACUUCUGAAAUGUUGACCUCGGAUCAGGUAGGAAUACCCGCUGAACUUAAGCAUAUCAAUAAAGCGGAGGACUCUCNUNUUCCCCCUCCUGU
rnacentral:rRNA from 1 species